rnacentral:misc_RNA from 1 species
UUGGUUGUUUUGGAUGAUGUGUGGUCACUAUCUGUGCUUGAACAGCUAAUUUUUAGAGUAGCUGGAUGCAAAACACUUGUGGUUUCACGAUUCAAAUUCCCAUCAGUUCUCAGUGCUACUUAUGAAGUAGAAUUUUUGAGGGAAGAUGAGGCAAUCUCCCUCUUUUGCCUUUCUGCUUUUGAAAAAAAAUCUGUUCCGGCUGCUGCUGAUGCCAAUCUGGUCAAGCAGAUCGUAAAUGAGUGCAAAGGACUGCCUUUGGCACUUAAAGUGAUCGGAGCUUCACUAAGGGACCAACCUGAGAUGUAUUGGGCGAGUGCAAAGAAGAGAUUAUCAAGGGGUGAACCUAUUUGCGAGUCCCAUGAAAACAAAUUGCUUGAUAGGAUGGCAAUAAGCAUUAACUUCUUGUCAAAAAAGGUUAGGGAAUGCUUCUUAGAUUUGGGGUGCUUUCCUGAAGACAAGAAGAUCCCUCUUGACGUUCUCAUCAAUAUGUGGGUUGAGAUACAUGACCUUAAUGGGGAAGAAGCUUUUGCUAUCCUUGUUGAACUUUCUAACAAGAAUCUUCUCACUUUGGUGAAGGAUGCACGAGCUGGAGAUCUAUAUAGCAGUUACUAUGAGAUUUUUGUUACUCAACAUGAUGUGUUACGGGAUCUUGCUAUUCAUUU